rnacentral:lncRNA from 1 species
CAUAUAAUCAUGCAUCAGAUAUGCAUGGAUUCAACUUAUCGGUUAAGCAUUAGAUAUGCAUUCUCAGUUUGAGAAACUUAACUUAUCAGAACAAUCAGUCAUACAUUCAUAAAUAAGCUACCCAUGCAUCAGAUAUGCAUAUAAAUUAUGAUAUGCUCAGUUUUCAGUCAUGGAAGCAAUGAAAUCAUGAUCAGUCAUUCAUUUUAUAUAUGCAUCAUUUUAUCUUUUCUCCCCUCUCAAG